rnacentral:rRNA from 1 species
CCCUUAGAUGUUCUGGGCCGCACGCGCGCUACACUGUUCGACGCAGCGAGUCUUAACCUUGACCGAAAGGUUUGGGUAAUCUUCAGCAAAGUCGAACGUGAUGGGGAUCGAUCAUUGCAAUUAUUGAUCGUGAACGAGGAAUUCCUAGUAAGUGCAAGUCAUCAGCUUGCGCUGAUUACGUCUCUGCCCUUUGUACACACCGCCCGUCGCUACUACCGAUUGAAUGGUUUAGUGAGAUCUCUGGAUUGACGCUGGCUAGGGGGCGACCCUUGGCCAGACUGUUGAGAAACUGCUCAAACUUGAUCAUUUAGAGGAAGUAAAAGUCGUAACA